AUACGGAGGGUGCGAGCGUUAAUCGGAAUUACUGGGCGUAAAGGGUGCGUAGGCGGUUUGAUAAGUCGGAUGUGAAAGCCCCGGGCUUAACCUGGGAAUUGCAUUCGAUACUGUCAGGCUAGAGUAUGUCAGAGGUUGGCGGAAUUCCUGGUGUAGCGGUGAAAUGCGUAGAUAUCAGGAGGAACACCGGUGGUGAAGGCGGCUAACUAGGACAAUACUGACGCUGAGGCACGAAAGCGUGGGGAGCAAACAGGAUUAGAAACCCUAGUAGUCC
rnacentral:rRNA from 1 species